UUUAAUAUAGGAGGCAAAUGAGCAGAGCCCAUGAACAGAGGUUGUAUCAUAGGAUAAGUAGAUAUGUACAAAGAAAUGGCACUAUGUUAAGUAGAUUUUUUUUUUAAUAUAUGAGGCAAACGAGCAGUGCCCACGAACAGAGCUCGUAUCAGAAGAUUUAUAGAGAUGUACAAAGGAAUGGCGUUAUGUUAAGUAGAAGUAUUUUUUUUUUAAUAUAGGAGGCAAACGAGCAGAACCCAUGAACAGAGCUCAUAUCAUAAGAUUUGUAGAGAUGUACAAAGGAAUGGCGUUAUGUUAAGUAGAAGUAUUUUUUUAAAUACAGGAGGCAAACGAGCAGAGCCCAUGAACAGAGGUCGUAUCUUAAGAUUUGUAGAUAUGUACAUAGAAAUGGCGCUAUGUUAAGUAGAAGUAUUUUUUUAAAUAUAGGAGGCAAAUGAGCAGAGCCCAUGAACAGAGGUUGUAUCAUAGGAUAAGUAGAUAUGUACAAAGAAAUGGCACUAUGUUAAGUAGAAUUUAUUUUUUUUAAUAUAGGAGGCAAACGAGCAGAGCCCACGAACAGAGCUCGUAUCAGAAGAUUUAUAGAGAUGUACAAAGGAAUGGCGUUAUGUUAACUAGAAGUAUUUUUUUUAAUAUAGGAGGCAAACGAGCAGAACCCAUGAACAGAGCUCAUAUCAUAAGAUUUGUAGAGAUGUACAAAGGAAUGGCGUUAUGUUAAGUAGAAGUAUUUUUUAAAUACAGGAGGCAAACGAGCAGAGCCCAUGAACAGAGGUCGUAUCAUAAGAUUUGUAGAUAUGUACAUAGAAACGGCGCUAUGUUAAGUAGAAGUAUUUUUUUAAAUAUAGGAGGCAAAUGAGCAGAGCCCAUGAACAGAGGUUGUAUCAUAGGAUAAGUAGAUAUGUACAAAGAAAUAGCACUAUGUUAAGUAGAAUUUUUUUUUAUAUAGUGGGCAAACGAGCAGAGCCCACGAACAGAGCUCGUAUCAGAAGAUUUAAAGAGAUGUUCAAAAGAAUGGCGUUAUGUUAAGUAGAAGUAUUUUUUUUAAUAUAGGAGGCAAACGAGCAGAACCCAUGAACAGAGCUCAUAUCAUAAGAUUUGUAGAGAUGUACAAAGGAAUGGCGUUAUGUUAAGUAGAAGUAUUUUUUUUAAUAUAGGAGGCAAACGAACAGAGCCCACGAACAGAGCUCGUAUCAGAAGAUUUAUAGAGAUGUACAAAAGAAUGGCGUUAUGUUAAGUAGAAGUAUUUUUUUUAAUAUAGGAGGCAAACGAGCAGAACCCAUGAACAGAGCUCAUAUCAUAAGAUUUGUAGAGAUGUACAAAGGAAUGGCGUUAUGUUAAGUAGAAGUAUUUUUUUAAAUACAGGAGGCAAACGAGCAGAGCCCAUGAACAGAGCUCAUAUCAUAAGAUUUGUAGAGAUGUACAAAGGAAUGGCGUUAUGUUAAGUAGAAGUAUUUUUUUAAAUACAGGAGGCAAACGAGCAGAGCCCAUGAACAGAGGUCGUAUCAUAAGAUUUGUAGAUAUGUACAUAGAAAUGGCGCUAUGUUAAGUAGAAGUAUUUUUUAUAUAGUGGGCAAACGAGCAGAGCCCACGAACAGAGCUCGUAUCAGAAGAUUUAAAGAGAUGUACAAAGGAAUGGCGUUAUGUUAAGUAGAAGUAUUUUUUUUAAUAUAGGAGGCAAAUGAGCAGAGCCCAUGAACAGAGCUCAUAUCAUAAGAUUUGUAGAGAUGUACAAAGGAAUGGCGUUAUGUUAAGUAGAAGUAUUUUUUUAAAUACAGGAGGCAAACGAGCAAAGCCCAUGAACAGAGGUCGUAUCAUAAGAUUUGUAGAUAUGUACAUAGAAAUGGCGCUAUGUUAAGUAGAAGUAUUUUUUUAAAUAUAGGAGGCAAAUGAGCAGAGCCCAUGAACAGAGGUUGUAUCAUAGGAUAAGUAGAUAUGUACAAAGAAAUAGCACUAUGUUAAGUAGAAUUUUUUUUUAUAUAGUGGGCAAACGAGCAGAGCCCACGAACAGAGCUCGUAUCAGAAGAUUUAAAGAGAUGUACAAAGGAAUGGCGUUAUGUUAAGUAGAAGUAUUUUUUUUAAUAUAGGAGGCAAACGAGCAGAACCCAUGAACAGAGCUCAUAUCAUAAGAUUUGUAGAGAUGUACAAAGGAAUGGCGUUAUGUUAAGUAGAAGUAUUUUUUUAAAUACAGGAGGCAAACGAGCAGAGCCCAUGAACAGAGGUCGUAUCUUAAGAUUUGUAGAUAUGUAACUAGAAAUGGCGCUAUGUUAAGUAGAAGUAUUUUUUUAAAUAUAGGAGGCAUAUGAUCAGAGCCCAGGAACAGAGCUCGUAUCAGAAGAUUUAUAGAGAUGUACAAAGGAAUGGCGUUAUGUUAAGUAGAAGUAUUUUUUUUAAAUAUAGGAGGCAAACGAGCAGAACCCAUGAACAGAGCUCAUAUCAUAAGAUUUGUAGAGAUGUACAAAGGAAUGUAUGACCUCGUAAUUUAUUCACCUCGUAAAUUAUUUGCAGGUGACUAAAUAAACACCCUGUAUAUAUUUGUUGUUGUAUCAACAAAUCAAGCAUUUACAUUAAAAAAGUGAGUGACAUUUAAUUAAGUGGAACUGCUGAUGAAGACCAGACGGAACACCUCAACUACGCGUAUUUCACGUUUGGCGAUAUCUUCUUCGUUGAGAUUGUUCUGCAAGUUAUUUUUUAAGCUUCAUUUUAGUCAAGAUCUAUUUCUGAUAAUGGAUCCCAGGAAUAAUGGAUGAAACUCUUCAAAUAU